rnacentral:rRNA from 1 species
GAUGAACGCUAGCGGCAGGCUUAAUACAUGCAAGUCGUGGGGCAGCAUGAGUAGCAAUACUUGAUGGCGACCGGCAAACGGGUGAGGAACACGUACACAACCUUCCUUCAAGCGGGGAAUAGCCCAGAGAAAUUUGGAUUAAUACCCCAUAAUAUAUUUGAUAAGGCAUCUUAUUAAUAUUAAAGCUUCGGCACUUGAUGAUGGGUGUGCGGCUGAUUAGAUAGUUGGCGGGUAACGGCCCACCAAGUCUACGAUCAGUAGCUGAUGUGAGAGCAUGAUCAGCCACACGGGCACUGAGACACGGGCCCGACUCCUACGGGAGGCAGCAGUAAGGAAUAUUGGACAAUGGACGAAAGUCUGAUCCAGCCAUGCCGCGUGAAGGAUUAAGGUCCUCUGGAUUGUAAACUUCUUUUAUAUGGGACGAAAAAAGGGCAUUCUUGUUCUACUUGACGGUACCAUAUGAAUAAGCACCGGCUAACUCCGUGCCAGCA